rnacentral:lncRNA from 1 species
GUUCGGUUUUUAACUAGCACCUGACACAUUUUUUUAAUGGUGAAUAGGCAUAUCAAGUUUGAGACCUAACUCAAAGGGUUGUAAAUGUUAGAUUGUGGAAGCGUGUACUACAGUAUCAGAGUGACAAGGCUGGUCAAUAGUUUGACCAUGACUUACACAGUAUGAUUUAAACUUGUUCUUUCUAUACACAACACACCUCUUAGUUAUGGUGAAUAAUCAAGAAAGUUUCAUUACCCCACACCAAGGGGUUAUUAAGUUAAAAAC